rnacentral:lncRNA from 1 species
GUGGAAGAGGACAGAGUUAGUUUCCUGGGAUUUGGAAGGUGUGGUGAGCGCGAUGGCUUUUCACCCUAGCGCGGAUGAGACGCUGUCGAUACGGCAUGGAUUCAGGUGUGUUCCUGAGAAUGGAGUUAAAGUGGAGGAAGUUAGUCAGUGAACAGGUAGGAGCUGAAUUUAUACAUUCCGCUUCCAGAAUGAACAAAGCUGUGGUUGUGUUCAUGAAAAGAGCAAAUUUGGUUGGUAGGCUAAUUGCUAGUGGAAUAUUUGUAAGGGAUGUGUUGGUGCCAGUUUCACCUCUCUCUACCCCUUCGACAAGGGUGGUAGUUGCAAAUUUGCCUCCGUUUAUUACGGAUGAUCAAAUCAGGAAAGAGCUGAGUGGUUUUGGUAAGUUUGCUAGUGGGUUUCGUGUACUGUCGGCAGGUUUUCAGACAGAUGCCGUUAAGCACGUUGUUUCAUUCUGGAGGCAAGUGUUUAUGUUUCUGAACAACAAUGAGCAACAGCUAAAUGUGCAUUUUAAAGUGAGGCAUGGGGAGGGGCUCUAUGCAGGGUUUGCCAGCACAGAUAGUCUACGGUGUUUUGAGUGUGGGGAUUUGGGGCAUAAGAGCUUUGUGUGCCCACAUAAAGGGCAUAGACAAGGUGAGGGUACAAGCGCCCCCGGUGGGGGAAAUCGAGGUCAACGUGAAGGGGACAAUGAGACGCAGGUAGCAGAGGCUGGGCAUAGUCAUGCCAGUGAUGGUGGUGUAGAUGAGUCUGGGCCUAGUCAUGCCAUGGAUGGUGGUGUAGAUGAGGCUGGGUCUAGUCAUGCUAUGGAUGGCGGUGUAGAUGAGGCUGGGUCUAGUCAGGUGAUGGAUGGUGGUGUAGAUGAGGCUGGGUCUAGUCAUGCUACAGAUGGCGGUGUAGAUGAGGCUGGGUCUAGUCAGGCUAUAGAUGGUGGUGUAGAUGAGGCUGGGUCUAGUCAGGCUAGAGAUGGUGGUGUAGAUGAGGCUGGGUCUAGUCAGGUUAUGGAUGGUGGUGUAGAUGAGGCUGGGUCUAGUCAUGCUACAGAUGGUGGUGUAGAUGAGGCUGGGUCUAGUCAUGCCAUGGAUGGUGGUGUAGAUGAGGCUGGGUCUAGUCAUGCUACAGAUGGUGGUGUAGAUGAGGCUGGGUCUAGUCAUGCUAGAGAUGGUGGUGUAGAUGAGGCUGGGUUUAGUCAUGUUAUAGAUGGUGGUGUAGAUGAGGCUGGGUCUAGUCAUGCCAUGGAUGGUGGUGUAGAUGAUGCUGGGUCUAGUCAUGCUAGAGAUGGUGGUAUAGAUGAGGCUGGGUCUAGUCAGGUUAUGGAUGGUGGUGUAGAUGAGGCUGGGUCUAGUCAGGCUAGAGAUGGUGGUGUAGAUGAGGCUGGGUCUAGUCAGGUUAUGGAUGGUGGUGUAGAUGAGGCUGGGUCUAGUCAUGCUACAGAUGGUGGUGUAGAUUAGGCUGGGUCUAGUCAUGCCAUGGAUGGUGGUGUAGAUGAGGCUGGGUCUAGUCAUGCUACAGAUGGUGGUGUAGAUGAGGCUGGGUCUAGUCAUGCUAGAGAUGGUGGUGUAGAUGAGGCUGGGUUUAGUCAUGUUAUAGAUGGUGGUGUAGAUGAGGCUGGGUCUAGUCAGGUUAUAGAUGGUGGUGUAGAUGAUGCUGGGUCUAGUCAUGCUAGAGAUGGUGGUAUAGAUGAGGCUGGGUCUAGUCAGGUUAUAGAUGGUGGUGUAGAUGAGGCUGGGUCUAGUCAUGCUAGAGAUGGUGGUGUAGAUGAGGCUGGGUUUAGUCAUGUUAUAGAUGGUGGUGUAGAUGAGGCUGGGUCUAGUCAGGUUAUAGAUGGUGGUGUAGAUGAUGCUGGGUCUAGUCAUGCCAUGGAUGGUAGUGUAGAUGACGCUGGGUCUAGUCAGGUUAUAGAUGGUGGUGUAGAUGAUGCUGGGUCUAGUCAUGCCAUGGAUGGUAGUGUAGAUGAGGCUGGGUCUAGUCAGGUUAUAGAUGGUGGUGUAGAUGAGGCUGGGUCUAGUCAGGUUAUAGAUGGUGGUGUAGAUGAUGCUGGGUCUAGUCAGGUUAUGGAUGUAGUGUAGAUGAGGCUGGGUCUAGUCAGGUUAUAGAUGGUGGUGUAGAUGAUGCUGGGUCUAGUCAGGUUAUGCUAGUGGAUGAGGAGAGUAUAGUGGGGAAGUGUAAGAAACUAGGGGGGAGGAGGAGGGUGUCAAGAGAAAAAGGGUGUGGUCAAAGGCACCAUGGAACCUUUGCCUGGUGCUGGGGGAGGCCCUGACUAGAGAGGAAGGGCAGGUGGUCAGGAUUGGAGAUGGAGAUGAGGAGGAGGAAAGUGAGUCUGAGGAAGAGGAUGAUGAGGAGGCCUUUUCUUCAGACUCCUCUUCAAUGGGUCCGGAGCUGACAGCCAGUCAAGCAGAGGGGUCAAAGUAUACGGUGAGAGAACUGACAAGGUUCCUGAAUGAGACCAAGGUGGAAAAAGUUAAUCUUGAGGAUUUUUUUUCUGAUCCGAGAAAGUUUGUAAGAUCAGUACAACAUGCUAUGACAAAUGAGGGGCAUGGUGUCCUCUCACCCAGGAAACGGUUUAGGUUGAGGAAGUGGGUCACAACAGUGCGUAAGGGUCUACCUUCAGACACUGUUUAGAUGUAUAGCUUCUUUCUGGCAAUGUGGUUUUUUGAGCUUUGCUAUUGGUCUCUUUCUUUGCUGGCUUUUCUCCCACUUCUUAUGGAGACUCUUCGGGUAGGAUCGCUCAAUAUAAAUGGCGCCAGAGAUGCGGGAAAGAGGAGCGUGCUGGGUGAAUAUGUGAAACCAAAAAAAAGUACAGGUAU